rnacentral:piRNA from 3 species
UUAGCACUCUGGACUCUGAAUCC